rnacentral:rRNA from 1 species
UGAGUAUGUCUGGGAACUGCCUGAUGGAGGGGGAUAACUACUGGAAACGGUAGCUAAUACCGCAUAACGUCGCAAGACCAAAGAGGGGGACCUUCGGGCCUCUUGCCAUCGGAUGUGCCCAGAUGGGAUUAGCUWGUWGGUGGGGUAACGGCUCACCUAGGCGACGAUCCCUAGCUGGUCUGAGAGGAUGACCAGCCACACUGGAACUGAGACACGGUCCAGACUCCUACGGGAGGCAGCAGUGGGGAAUAUUGCACAAUGGGCGCAAGCCUGAUGCAGCCAUGCCGCGUGUAUGAAGAAGGCCUUCGGGUUGUAAAGUACUUUCAGCGGGGAGGAAGGGAGUAAAGUUAAUACCUUUGCUCAUUGACGUUACCCGCAGAAGAAGCACCGGCUAAC